CUCGAGGUGGCCGCCUGGGACUCCCUCCUCCAAGACAUCGCACUUAUGCCGAUGAACAUCAAGGAGGACCGGGAUGUUCUUUCCUGGCACCUCGAUCCCUCUGGUUGUUUCUCCACGCAGUCCCUGUACGGCGCCAUUGCUCCCUCGACGGCCCCGGAACCAUUUAGCCUGAUCUGGGACAUCCGACUUCCGCUGAAAAUCAGGAUCUUCCUAUGGCAAUGGAUCCGUGGACGCCUCCCCUCUGGGGUUGAAGUCCUCAAGCGUAAUGGCCUGGGUGAUGGGAUGUGCCCCAUCUGUGGAACGAUUGAGGAUGCUAACCACAUCUUUUUCUCGUGCCACUCUGCCCAGUUCCUUUGGGCUUGCUUUCGCGAAACGGUUGGCGGACAGUGGUGUAAUACCAACUUCACCGACCUGCUUGCCAAGCUUAACGCUUCCCCUACUCGCUACCGCCAUAUUAGAUGGCUGUGCAUUGGGGUUCUCGCCUGGACGCUUUGGAACAUUCGCAAUAAGCUUGUUAUUCACAAGGUGCCUCUCCGACGUGCGACUGACGCAAUCUUCAAAUUGUGUGGCUACCUGCAGCUUUGGCGGCCGCUUAGCCGCCCCCAGGACCGGGAUGUCAUCACCACCCUUGUCGGUGUCAAAACCGGCGGAUCUCGGGUAGGGGGUCCCGAACUGUGCGUCUAG
rnacentral:rRNA from 1 species